UCCAGCCUCUUCAAGUCCCAAUCCAGAAUGGAGAUGUACAGAAAAGAGAAGGCAGGAGAGAGAGAAAUAUCAAAGAAAUAAAAUCCGGAGAGGUAGAGAAAGAGCAUAAAAUCCGGAUUUUUCUCACAAGUAAAACUAGAAUCAAAGAAAGGGUAGACCUUCUCAUCCCAACUGCUCCCACUUGGGAAAGAAAGUGAAGGAAAUGAGAAAUAUUUUUUCAGCUAUUUAGGUUUCUAUGCAUGUGAUCUUUCACAACAAAGAAUGAAAGAAGCAUUGGGGGAAGUUUGGAAGCUAGAGUAGAAUGGUUUGUCUGAUUAUUUUGAGUUGACAAAGAUUACAUGAUUUCUAUAGGCUACUAUAUAUACAUAUAUAUACAUCAAUAUGAAUUUUGUAUACAAGAUAUAGCAGAAUGUAAUGUGCAUAGGAUUCUGAUCA